rnacentral:misc_RNA from 1 species
AAAGUCGUAACAAGGUUUCCGUAGGUGAACCUGCGGAAGGAUCAUUACAAGGUACCUAGCCUACCCGGCUAGAACCUCCAACCACUGUGUACCAAACUUUUGUUGCCUCGGCGGGCUGGGUGCCCACCAGCACCCCCCUUAGGGGAGUCGCCCGCCGAUGGACCUUUAAAACUUCUUCGUAGAUGAACGUCUGAUUUAAUCUUAAAAAGAAAUACAACUUUUAACAAUGGAUCUCUUGGCUCUG